rnacentral:rRNA from 1 species
GACGAACGCUGGCGGCGUGCUUAACACAUGCAAGUCGAACGGAAAGGCCCUGCUUUUGUGGGGUGCUCGAGUGGCGAACGGGUGAGUAACACGUGAGUAACCUGCCCUUGACUUUGGGAUAACUUCAGGAAACUGGGGCUAAUACCGGAUAGGAGCUCCUGCUGCAUGGUGGGGGUUGGAAAGUUUCGGCUGUUGUGGAUGGACUCGCGGCUUAUCAGCUUGUCGGUGGGGUAGUGGCUUACCACGGCUUUGACGGGUAGCCGGCCUGAGAGGGUGACCGGCCACAUUGGGACUGAGAUACGGCCCAGACUCCUACGGGAGGCAGCAGUGGGGAAUAUUGCACAAUGGGCGGAAGCCUGAUGCAGCAACGCCGCGUGCGGGAUGACGGCCUUCGGGUUGUAAACCGCUUUCGCCUGUGACGAAGCGUGAGUGACGGUAAUGGGUAAAGAAGCACCGGCUAACUACGUG